rnacentral:rRNA from 1 species
GACGUAGGGGGCCAGCGUUGCUCGGAAUUACUGGGCGUAAAGGGCGCGUAGGCGGCCGUUUGCGUCGGAUGUGAAAGCCCGGGGCUCAACCUCGGAACGGCAUUCGAUACGGGACGGCUGGAGACCGGGAGAGGAGAGUGGAAUAGCCAGUGUAGAGGUGAAAUUCGUAGAUAUUGGCUGGAACACCGGUGGCGAAAGCGGCUCUCUGGCCCGGUUCUGACGCUGAGGCGCGAAAGCGUGGGGAGCAAACAGG